GUGAACGCUGGCGGUAGGCCUAACACAUGCAAGUCGCACGGCAGCACAGUAAGAGCUUGCUCUUACGGGUGGCGAGUGGCGGACGGGUGAGGAAUACAUCGGAAUCUACUUUUUCGUGGGGGAUAACGUAGGGAAACUUACGCUAAUACCCCAUACGACCUACGGGUGAAAGCCGGGGAUCUUCGGACCUUGCGCGAUUGAAUGAGCCGAUGUCGGAUUAGCUAGUUGGCGGGGUAAAGGCCCACCAAGGCGACGAUCCGUAGCUGGUCUGAGAGGAUGAUCAGCCACACUGGAACUGAGACACGGUCCAGACUCCUACGGGAGGCAGCAGUGGGGAAUAUUGGACAAAGGGCGCAAGCCUGAUCCAGCCAUACCGCGUGGGUGAAGAAGGCCUUCGGGUUGUAAAGCCCUUUUGUUGGGAAAGAAAAGCAGCAGGUUAAUACCCCGCUGUUCUGACGGUACCCAAAGAAUAAGCACCGGCUAACUUCGUG
rnacentral:rRNA from 1 species